AUGGACGGCAAGACGCCUCAUCUGCUGCCUCUGAGUCUGAGCGAGGCCAAAAAGAAGAUCCGGGAUGACGUCCCACUGGUCUGCGGAUGGGCGCUCCUCAACGCCUUCGCCACGCUCUGCGGCGUAGCAAGCGGCUACAUAGCCGAGUACAUCCAUGUGUCGUGCAGCCAGUCCUCCUUCAUUCUGCCGUGCAUCGAGCUGACGGACGCGGAGGCCGCCAGGCUAAUCGCCCUCUGCGUCGGGAUGCUGUGCUGCGCCCCAUCCCAGGCGGCCGCGGCGGCGCUGGCGCUGCUGCUCCCAUGCCAGCGUCGCCGGGCCCGCCGGACCCUCGCCUACCUCGCGCUGGCGGUCACCAUCCUCUUCCAUUGCUUGUUCGCCAGCACCGUGUGGGUCUUCCUCGCCGCCGACCCAGGAUACAUCUUCGGCAGGAUCUACUUCACCGCGGGCUUCUGCUUCUUCGUGGUGGCCGACCUCCUCAGCUUCCGGGCCCUCCUGGGAGGUGAUGGGUGGGGCAUCAAGUACGUAGCCUAUUUCUUCUGA
rnacentral:rRNA from 1 species